rnacentral:rRNA from 1 species
GAUGAACGCUGGCGGCGUGCCUAAUACAUGCAAGUCGAGCGAACGGACGAUAAGCUUGCUUCUCUGAUGUUAGCGGCGGACGGGUGAUUAACACGUGUAUAACCUACCUAUAAUACUGGUAUAACUUCGGGAAACCGUAGCUAAUACCGGAUAAUAUUUUGAACCGCAUUGUUCAAAAGUGAAAGACGGUCUUUCUGUCACUUAUAGAUGGAUCCGCGCUGCAUUAGCUAGUUGGUAAGGUAACGGCUUACCAAGGCAACGAUGCAUAGCCGACCUGAGAGGGUGAGCGGCCACACUGAGACUGAGACACGGUCCAGAGUGCUACGGGAGGCAGCAGGAGGGAAUCUUCCGCAAUGGGUGAAAGCCUGACGGAGCAACGCCGAGUGAGUAAUGAAGGUCUUCGGAUCGUAAAACUCUGUUAUUGGGGAAGAACAUAUGUGUAAGUAACUGUGAACAUCUUGACGGUAACUAAGCAGAAAGCCACGGCUAACUACGUG